rnacentral:misc_RNA from 1 species
AAGUCGUAACAAGGUAACCGUAGGUGAACCUGCGGUUGGAUCAUUAAAAAUGGGUUUAGGCCCUUUUUUGAGAUGUUAGGGGGUUAUUAUUGGAAUCUGGCCUCCCGCCGGCCCAAUAAUCGCCUGUCCUAACCCCGUAUGUUUAGCCUUUGUCAAGUAAACUCUGGCCGGGCUAACCAUAAGGAACAACUUGUGCACUGUAAUUGUUUUUGGGCGAUUAAUUCAAAACUAAUCGCCCGCUGGUUUAACUUUACUACUAAACUUUUGACUGACGUUUAUCACUAUAAAUGAUUAAACAACUUUAGACAACGGAUCUCUUGGCUCUC